CAUUAAGUAGCUAACAAGAUAAAGCAUUAGCCUUUUAAGCUAACAUCGGUGUCAUCAACCACCCUUAAUGA
rnacentral:tRNA from 1 species